UACAGAGGGUGCAAGCGUUAAUCGGAAUUACUGGGCGUAAAGCGCGCGUAGGCGGCUAAGUAAGUCGGGUGUGAAAGCCCCGGGCUCAACCUGGGAACUGCAUUCGAUACUGUUUAGCUAGAGUAUGAGAGAGGGAGGUAGAAUUCCACGUGUAGCGGUGAAAUGCGUAGAUAUGUGGAGGAAUACCGGUGGCGAAGGCGGCCUCCUGGUUCAAUACUGACGCUGAGGUGCGAAAGCGUGGGGAGCAAACAGG
rnacentral:rRNA from 1 species